AACGAACGCUGGCGGCAGGCUUAACACAUGCAAGUCGAACGCCCCGCAAGGGGAGUGGCAGACGGGUGAGUAACGCGUGGGAAUCUACCUUUUGCUACGGGAUAGCUCCGGGAAACUGGAAUUAAUACCGUAUGAGCCCUUCGGGGGAAAGAUUUAUCGGCAAAGGAUGAGCCCGCGUUGGAUUAGCUAGUUGGUGGGGUAAAGGCCUACCAAGGCGACGAUCCAUAGCUGGUCUGAGAGGAUGAUCAGCCACAUUGAGACUGAGACACGGCCCAAACUCCUACGGGAGGCAGCAGUGGGGAAUAUUGGACAAUGGGCGCAAGCCUGAUCCAGCCAUGCCGCGUGAGUGAUGAAGGUCUUAGGAUUGUAAAGCUCUUUCACCGGGGACGAUAAUGACGGUACCCGGAGAAGAAGCCCCGGCUAACUUCGUGCCAGCAGCCGCGGUAA
rnacentral:rRNA from 1 species